GACGAACGCUGGCGGCGUGCUUAACACAUGCAAGUCGAACUAAGUGGCGAACGGGUGAGUAACGCGUAAUCAACCUGCCCUUCAGAGGGGGACAACAGUUGGAAACGACUGCUAAUACCGCAUACUGAAGGAGGGGAUUGCGUCUGAUUAGCUAGUUGGAGGGGUAACGGCCCACCAAGGCGAUGAUCAGUAGCCGGGCUGAGAGGAUGAACGGCCACAUUGGGACUGGGAAACGGCCCAGACUCCUACGGGAGGCAGCAGGUGGGAAUCUUCCGAAAUGGACGAAAGUCUGACGGAGCAACGCCGCGUGAGUGAUGACGGCCUUCGGGUUGUAAAGCUCUGUUAAUCGGGACGCGGUACCGGAAGAGAAAGCCACGGCUAACUACGUGCCAGCCGCCGCGGUAAUAC
rnacentral:rRNA from 1 species